rnacentral:lncRNA from 1 species
UAAUAAUGGAUGGGUGUUUGGUUUUGAUGAAAAAGUAAAUUAAACUUAAUUAAAUUACAGAAUUGAUAAAAACAUAAAAUUAAGGUAAAAUGAUAAAUGACGGACUAGCUAGAGGGUUCUUCUCCACACAUGACACAUAUGCAACCUAAAUUGAUUUUCAGUUGUUCUUUCAAUAAAUUUUGAAUCUCAAUACUCCAGAUUAACCGUGAACAGCACUUUUUUAAUCUUCAAGUUUUCCUUAAGUUAUUGAAUUG